AGCUUUGUAAAAAUUGCUAUGCCAAACUCCAAACACAUUCUUAGGUAAGGUGUGUAAAAACAAAACAUUCUCAAAAAUUCAGUUCCACCUUACACACUCUCCCUCCUAGGACACUCUUUGAUUUCAACUCUCCAAAAUCCGAAUAGCGGUUACUCACCCACCUCAUCCUAUACAAUAUCGAGUUCAAUCUCACCAUGGUUAUAGCAAAUAGUACCAUCAAUUUGGUGUUUCAUCACAGCUCAAUCUUCCAUCACGAAUCUACAACUUCUUUAUACAAACCCAUGACACUAUCCACACCCUCUCAUUCACUUUCUCCAACCCAACCUGUCAAAACUACCCGUAAACCCCUCAGUCUCAGUCGUCUCUCUCCAGGAAGCUGCAAACUGAAACCGCUUGUUGUAAGGCGUUGUUCCAUCACUGAGUUUGUUAUUUCCAGUGAUGAAAAAUAUGGCAAUAAACAGGUUAUCAGUCUCACGCCUCGUCUCUAUGAUUAUUUGCUCAAAAAUGUUCGAGAACCAGAGAUUCUAAGGCAACUGCGAGUGGAGACCGCGGCUAUGCGUGGAAGUCAGAUGCAGGUGUCUCCUGAUCAGGCACAGCUACUUGCAAUGCUGGUGCAGAUUCUUGGAGCAGAAAGGUGUAUUGAAAUCGGUGUUUAUACGGGAUACUCGUCACUAGCGAUAGCGUUAGUCCUGCCAGAGUCAGGUCGUUUAGUUGCGUGUGAAAGAGAUGCUAAAUCUCUUGAUGUUGCUAAGAAGUAUUAUGAACUUGCUGGUGUUUCGCAUAAGGUUGAUGUAAAACUUGGACUUGCAGCGGAUUCCCUUGAAUCUCUAAUUAUGAACGGUGAAGCGGGAAGCUAUGACUUUGCAUUUAUUGAUGCUGAGAAAAGGAUGACUGAGAAAUAUUUUGAGCUACUACUACAAUUGGUGAGAGUUGGAGGUCUUAUUGUUAUUGAUAAUGUCCUCUGGCAUGGAAAAGUUGCUGAUCCAUUGUGACUCUAAAACUACGGGCAUUAGAAAUUUUAAUCAACGAUUAAUGGAAGACACGCGCGUAAGCAUUAGUAUGGUGCCUAUUGGAGAUGGGAUGACAAUCUGUCGGAAAAGAUGACACAUUUUUAAAGAGUUCUUUAGAUCUAUGUGAUUGCGAUUUAACCCUUCAUGGUAAUUAUACUUCUGUGUGGUCGAAGAAAGCUAGGUUAUUUAAGUCAGUACAUGUUCUUCGAACUUGAGUUUUAGUAGUCCGAACUCUUUGGCUCAUCUUGGGAAGGACCUAACCUGUGGAAUGUAGAACAUUAGAUUUUUGUGAUCCUCUCUGCUGCGGCUUUUCUGCUAAUUAAAGAUGAAAGCUCUAUUAAACAAUAUAGUAGUGACCUACAGGAUACGGCUCUUGGAAGCAGAUAUAUUGUACCUACCAGUGUAGUCAAAACCGAGUGUUGGAUUGUAAGAUUGUAAGAGCUUACGUGUCAAAGGUUCCUGAGAGUGCUACGAUUAGAGAAAGAUCGUUUUCGUCGCCGUCUUUGUAUCGUCGUCAUCUCAUUCUGUUUCACUUCGUCGUUGCGCGGUUGCGCCUCCCCACUCCAUCUCGCCUGUGUCAAAAAUAUGUCAUUAUUUCAAUUUCAUUAUUAAAUUAGCUUCUCAAAUGCAAGUGCAUCUUCCUCUUUUCAGUUUUUAGUUGUAAUUGUUUAAGCUUUUGCAUUUUUUAUGCAGAAAAAAAAUAUUUUCACCAAUGUAGUUCUUUUCAUGGUCUAAUAUAUUUCAGUCAAAUUGGUAAUAUGUUUACAUCUUAAAUACUCUUUCUGCGUAAUUGACAAAUUCCUCAUGCUGCAAACCUGUCAUACAUAAAAAAACUAUGUCAAAAAUUGAUAA